rnacentral:ncRNA from 1 species
UUUGGAUUUGACGAAUUAUUCUCAUAAAGUUGGAUUUUUAAUUAGUUUUGUUACACCUUCCAAAUAAUGUUAUAACUUUGUAUCUAAAUGUUGUAUAGCCCCCAGUGCUCCAUGGGUAUUGCAUAAAUGAGCAAAUAAAGCAGCGUUUGACCUCCGGAGAAUCUUAGGCGAACAAGGAUAGAGAACGGGCUUGCCCGCUCUCCUGCGUCCCAAUGUGCCAAGAGGGACAACAACCCUCAAGGCACUAAACUAUAUCAAAGUUUAAAAUUUCUGGAGAUAAAUCCUUUGCAGACGACUUAAAUAAAGAACGGGGUAUUGUACGUUGUAGAGUAGCCUUGUUGCUACGAUCUUCUGAGAUUAAGCCUUUGUUCUACGAUUU